rnacentral:lncRNA from 1 species
CUAUAGGUGAGACGAAUAGGAAUCAAGAGCAACAACAAUGACUCAGUGAAAUUGCUGCUACGGAUUGACUUUGGAUAUGGUGAUCCCUAAUAUUGAGGCUCUUGAUGCAAGGUUCGAGCCUACGACUCUCAUAUCAUAACCAACUUGACAAAUUAACUAAAUCAACAACCUCCGUUGGUUAAACAAAUCACUGGCCAUACAAGAUCAAUGUGUGUACCAGAG